rnacentral:RNase_P_RNA from 1 species
CAAGGAGGCUGGGCGACCGCUGUUCCUUCGCAAGAUGGAAGAGAGGAAAGUCCGAGCUCCUCAGGGCUGGAUGCCCGCUAACGGCGGGGCGAGGCAACGCGACGGACAGUGCCACAGAAACAUACCGCCCGGACUACGGUCUGGGUAAGGGUGAAAAGGUGCGGUAAGAGCGCACCGCUCCGGUGGCAACAUCGGAGGACAAG